GUCCAUGUGGCUCAGUUGGUAGAGCAUGGUGCUUGCAAUGCCAAGUUGUGUGUUCGAUUCCCACGGGGGACC
rnacentral:tRNA from 1 species